GUUGAAAUGCAUCUGGAAUUGCUGCAUGAGGAAUCCACUCUGUUUGGGGCUCACAGUAAUCCCACCUCUGAAUUUCAGCACAUCAAAGGAAAAAGGAUCGCCAAACAAAGUUGCUGUCAAGUGCAGAGCUGAUUGGCCAGUAAUUACAGCUUCAAAUUCCGACCGGACUAAACUCAGAGCAGUAAGAGAGAUCCUCCCAUUUUUCACUUCAGAGUCAACUGCAAAGAUGACCUCUGUGAUAUUCGUUCCAGCUAUAUUUUCUAAUGAUAUUAUUUCCACUUUAGUAUGGGAAACACUUAUUUCAUCAAAAAUAUCAUCUGCAAGUUGCAAAAUGUUAUCAUUGACAAACAUA
rnacentral:misc_RNA from 1 species